AAUGUACAGCUAUUACAAAUCCAAUCUGGGAAACAAAUUCACAUGCUAAAAACAAGAACAUGCUUUUCCAACAAGCCACGGCAGCAAUCAACAAUGCAAAAACGAUCCUCUUUGUCACUCUCAUUUCAAUAGUUAUCGUGAAGAGACGUUCAUAGAUCUAAACCAAAGGGAAGAAAAAAAUCGCUUAUGUAAAUAAAUUGAAAUAGUAACACGAUUCGCAUCUUCAAUAUCACAGAUUAAUGUUUUGGAUUGUGUUCAUCCGCAUCAUCGUGUUCAUCGCUCCUUCCCCCGUCGCCACUCUCGUUCGAAUCACCCAUUACUAAUUCACAACCCGAACAAACACGAGGAAGCGAUUCGCGUAGGAAAGGAGAAAUAAGAAACGCUUAUGAAGAAAAAAUCAAGGCUUACGACCGCUACGGCGUCGCGCUCGACCUUCCUCGGCGGCGGGAGGAAAACCGAUCUGAAAUCGUGUCCAUCACCUUCAUACGUGGACAUAAGCUCGAUGUUGUUCACAGUUCGAUCACCGGAUCCAAGAAUCCUCAACCAAAUCACGUUGACGAAGGUGAGACGAAGUCGUGGGUUCUCAAUCGUUUUGUAUCAAGUAGAGACGUGGAAACACGAAGCCACAUUGAAAAGUUAUGAUAAAUUGGAGCAACUUAGCGGUUCGGCUCUGACGCGGUGGCUCGAUGCUGACACUCCACAGGGAUAUUGCGCUUGAUGGACAACAACACUGCGGGAGAAUCCAAUUGUGGAGUGUGAAUCCUGGACCGUUAUGUAACAACUCUGACUCGACGUGAAAAAAGUCUCUUCUGAUGCGGUGGCUCGACGGCAAUGGCUCCAACAGAUUGCGGAAUGAGACUUCCAAGUUUCAUAAUGGAGAUUGGUCGUGAAGAGUGAAGAUGCAGAGAUUUGGAGAGUGAAGAAUGAGGUAGCAACCACCUGAGGAUUGAGUCAAGAGAUAAAUAUAUAUAGGCCUUUAUCUUUUGGUUAGGAUCCGGUAAAAACUCACAUGAAAUUCAAGUGAAAUUAGAAGUUAGUUUGGAAUGCACCUCACAUGAAUAAGUUAGUUAGAAAUUUAGUUUUAGAUUCUGUUAGAAAUUCCACUUGUGAAAAAUGAAAUCGGUUGGUUCUGUUAUUUUGUUAGAACUUGGAAUUUAAAAUGAAAAUGGAAGUUGCUUAUUUGUGUUAGAUGGUUUGAGAUUCAAUUGCGAAUUCUAUUAGGAAGUUAGUGACAUUCAAACUCAAAUGAAAUGAAAGUGAAAUGAAAUUCUAAAUGAAAAUGAAAUUGAAAUUGAGUUAUAUUUCUGUUAUGAAAUGCAAAUUCACAAUGGAGUGAACUUUACUGCGUUUUCUGUUAACUAGAAAUUAUGUUAUAGGUUAGUUUUAACUUCAGUUAAGACAGCAAUGAAAUUCAAAUGAAAUGUGAGCGAAAUGUAUGAAAUUAUAAAAUGACUUUUGCUGUCAUGAAAAAAUCUGUUAAGUAGUUAUAGUGAGAAAUGAAAAAUUCUGUCAUAGGUCUAUUAAUGAAGCUAGUAGAGUUUACUUAUGCAAAUCUGGAAUUCUGUUAAUCAAUUUGGAGUGUUUCUGCAGGUUGUUUACUACCCUCGUCGUGCACUACUGUUGUGAACUAAUUACGCAGGCAGCUAUUGCUACUAAAUGUGGUAAUUUUUGUUUAUUGCUAAUAUUUAUCGAUUUUGCUCGUGACGUGGCGAUGUUAAGCUGAAGAAUUUCAUGCUAUUAAGUUCCACUAUUUGUUAGAUUCAGUUGUUGAUGUUACUCUUAGUCUGCUACUGGUGCAUUCUUUGAUGUCAUGCUCUUGGGUGGUUUCCUUCAAUGAUAGGUUUUGGUCGGGCUUGCUUUUGUGAAAUAGUUGGUGGCGCAUUAAUCUGGCACAUAUCGUUGUUGCAGGACUUAUGCUUGGUGUGGUGAUGAAAGAUGUGGCUAGGAAAGACUUAAAUGGUCUAAAGUAAAAAGAUGAAGAACUUGUGAUCUUUUACUUCUAGUAUAACUUUUAAGUAUAUUUUGUAAUGACCAGGCCCGGCCCUGUGGGGUGCGAGAAGUGCUACCGCACGGCACAGGGCCUCCGAUUUUUUAGGGUCUCGAAUUUGAUAGAUAGGGUCAAUAUAAAUAUAAUACUAACGAAAAUAUAUAUCACUAAUUCUAUUUUAAUA